rnacentral:rRNA from 1 species
GGGGAAAAGAAACUAACAAGGAUUCCCCUAGUAACUGCGAGUGAAGCGGGAAAAGCUCAAAUUUAAAAUCUGGCGGUCUUUGGCCGUCCGAGUUGUAGUCUGGAGAAGCGUUUUCCGCGUUGGACCGUGUACAAGUCUCUUGGAACAGAGCGUCAUAGAGGGUGAGAAUCCCGUCUUUGACACGGACUACCAAUGCUUUGUGAUGCGCUCUCAAAGAGUCGCGUUGUUUGGGAAUGCAGCGCAAAAUGGGAGGUGAAUUCCUUCUAAAGCUAAAUAUUGGCGAGAGACCGAUAGCGAACAAGUACCGUGAGGGAAAGAUGAAAAGCACUUUGGAAAGAGAGUUAAACAGUACGUGAAAUUGCUGAAAGGGAAACGCUUGAAGUCAGUCGCGUCGUCCGGAACUCAGCCUUGCUUCGGCUUGGUGCACUUUCCGGAUGACGGGCCAGCAUCGAUUUUGACCGCUGGAAAAGGGCUGGAGGAAUGUGGCACCUUCGGGUGUGUUAUAGCCUUCAGUCGCAUACAGCGGUUGGGAUCGAGGAACGCAGCACGCCUUAUGGCUGGGGUUCGCCCACAUUCGUGCUUAGGAUGCUGGCAUAAUGGCUUUUAAACGACC